CAGUGAGGAAUAUUGGACAAUGGGCGGGAGCCUGAUCCAGCCAUGCCGCGUGCAGGAUGACGGCCCUAUGGGUUGUAAACUGCUUUUAUACGGGAAGAAACGCACCUACGAGUAGGUGUCUGACGGUACCGUAAGAAUAAGGACCGGCUAACUCCGUGCCAGCAGCCGCGGUAAUACGGAGGGUCCGAGCGUUAUCCGGAAUCAUUGGGUUUAAAGGGUCCGCAGG
rnacentral:rRNA from 11 species